UACGGGGGGAGCAAGCGUUGUUCGGAUUUACUGGGCGUAAAGGGCGCGUAGGCGGCCAGCACAAGUCAGUUGUGAAAUCUCCGAGCUUAACUCGGAAAGGUCAACUGAUACUGUGCGGCUAGAGUGCGGAAGGGGCAACUGGAAUUCUUGGUGUAGCGGUGAAAUGCGUAGAUAUCAGGAGGAACACCGGUGGCGAAGGCGGUUCUCUGGGCAUGUCCUGACGCUGAGGAGCGAAAGUGUGGGGAGCGAACAGG
rnacentral:rRNA from 1 species